rnacentral:rRNA from 1 species
CCUACGGGAGGCAGCAGUGGGGAAUAUUGGACAAUGGGGGCAACCCUGAUCCAGCAAUGCCGCGUGWGUGAUGAAGGCCUUAGGGUUGUAAAACWCUUUCRCCGAUGAAGAUAAUGACGGUAGYCGGAUAAGAAGCCCCGGCUAACUCCGUGCCAGCAGCCGCGGUAAUACGGAGGGGGCGAGCGUUGUUCGGAAUUACUGGGCGUAAAGGGCGCGUAGGCGGUGWCUUUAGUCGGGCGUGAAAGCCCCGGGCUCAACCUGGGAGGUGCGUUCGAUACUGCCUUGCUUGAGWSCGGAAGAGGGUAGUGGAAUUCCCAGUGUAGAGGUGAAAUUCGUAGAUAUUGGGAAGAACACCAGUGGCGAAGGCGGCYMCCUGGUCCGUUUCUGACGCUGAGGCGCGAAAGCGUGGGGAGCAAACAGGAUUAGAUACCCUGGUAGUCCACSCCGUAAACGAUGAGUGCUAGANGUCGGGGAACWUGUUCUUCGGUGUCGCMGCUAACGCAUUAAGCACUCCGCCUGG